CCAGGGUGGGGGAAAAUAUUUUGUAACCAAUUGGGGCCCCCACGCCCCUUGAUGCCCACCCCCCUCCCCGCGGGGUGUGAAAAGAAAGGGCCCUUUCGGUUUUUUAAAACCCACCUUUCCGGGGGGGGGGGGGGGGGGGCGGUAAAGNUUAAAUUUUUUUGGGNGAUUGCCGUCCCCCCCAAGAAGAAACCCCCGGUUACUUCCCCCCCCACCACCCCGGNUAUANGGGGGGGGAGCAAGUUUUUUUUCAAUUUUUUUUGNNGAUAAAGCGCCCGCGGNCNCUCUCACNUNUNGGAUNANAANUCCCCGANNCCCCCGGGNAACCCCUUUAAAAAUUCAAGGNUAGAUUUUUUUAGGGGGGGUUGGGUUNCCGGUNNAGCGGUGAAAUGCGUAGAGAUAGAGUUGGAGAGGAAUUNGGUGGGGAAGGCGGCCCCCUGGACAAAGACCGACGCUCAGGUGCGAAAGCGUGGGGAGCAAACAGGAUUAGAUACCCUGGUAGUCCACGCCGUAAACGAUGUCGAUUUGGAGGUUGUGCCCUUGAGGCGUGGCUUCCGGAGCUAACGCGUUAAAUCGACCGCCUGGGGAGUACGGCCGCAAGGUUA
rnacentral:rRNA from 1 species